CACCCGACAUGGUAAAGGACGCAACAAACAAAUCAUCUCAUCUGAUUCAGAAUAUGAUUAACCAGCAUUAAACAUGUGGCAGGUUCACUCUAAGCUAAUUUGAUUGUUUCACAAAAAGAGUUCGCCUUUUAAGGUUGAAAGCUUGGCUUGGGCAUCAAUAGCAAGUGUCCCCCAAAAGAGAUAAGAGUCAAUAGAAGGAGUUACCAUACAUUAAAGUAUCCUUUUAGAUAUGGGCAACAGCCGAAGUAUCCUUAUACUCAUAUUAUUUUCAUACUCAACCUUCACAUUAUAUAAUUUGUACAUGCCAGUGAAUUGGAAGAAGAAAAAGGUUGAUAGAGCCGGCGUAGAAUGAUCCAACCAUUAGAACCAGAGCCACCAUUAUCAUCUGCCCCGAUCUGGCCGAACCCAACACAUAACCUCCCAUGGUUUAUAAAAUUCCUUAUCUUGCUCUUAUCAAUCCUUCCUCUUAUUCUUCUACUCUCUGGCUCGAUCUUAUACUUUGCUUUCUAAAAAUCAUGUGAAUCUCUUUGUGGAGUGACUGAACUGUGAAGCAACCCAAAAAAAAGCUCAGCUUCGAAGGAAGAAGAGAGGGCAGACACACAAGAUGAAGCUCUCACAUUUAUUCCGACUUUACUCGUCCUCUCAAAUUGCUUCACGUCGGGAAACCCAUGUGAGAGACACGUGACACAUUCUGAUCCUUCAUGUUUUUUUGCAAAUUGUGACCCCAAAAACUUCUUGUCGUCUUAUAUUCACUCCCUACAUUUUCCUAUUUAUUAUAGACGGCCACACGAGUUUUAGAUUUUAUUUAUUUCAGAUAUAAUGGA
rnacentral:lncRNA from 1 species